AUACGUAGGGAGCGAGCGUUGUCCGGAAUUACUGGGCGUAAAAGGCGCGUAGGCGGCGCUUCAAGUCGUCUGUCAAAUGGGAGGGCUUAACCCUUUUUCGCAGACGAAACUGGAGAGCUUGAGAAGCAGAGAGGCAAACAGAAUUCCUGGUGUAGCGGUGAAAUGCGUAGAUAUCAGGAAGAAUACCAGUGGCGAAGGCGGUUUGCUGGCUGCAUACUGACGCUGAAGCGCGAAAGCCAGGGGAGCAAACGGGAUUAGAUACUCCGGUAGUCCUGGCAGUAAACGAUGUAUGCUGGGUGUGAGACUAGCGAUAGUUUCGUGCCGAAGUUAACGCGAUAAGCAUACCGCCUGGGGAGUACGGUCGCAAGAUUGAAACUCAAAGGAAUUGACGGGG
rnacentral:rRNA from 1 species